GUCUCAGUUCAGAUUGCAGGCUGCAACUCGCCUGCAUGAAGUCGGAAUUGCUAGUAAUCGCAGAUCAGCAUGCUGCGGUGAAUACGUUCCCGGGCCUUGUACACACCGCCCGUCACACCAUGGGAGUCGGUAACACCCGAAGUCGGUAGCCUAACCGUAAGGAGGGCGCCGCCGAAGGUGGGAUUGAUGACUGGGGUGGAAGUCGUAACAAGGUAGC
rnacentral:rRNA from 1 species